ensembl:snoRNA
AUCCUUUUGUGGUUCAUAAGCUUGAUGAUUGAGUUUUCACGUCCACAUGUGAGAUGUGCCUCCCUUGAGCCUUAUCAUCGGCACAUUACCUGCCUAAUG